rnacentral:lncRNA from 1 species
AUGUUAAGUGCUGGUGGAGUUGUUUGGCUUAACAGUCUGAUCAAAAUGUGUCUGUGGAUGGACAAGGAACCACCGCUUGGUCACUGGGCAGUUGAGGAAAAGCUCUUCACACCCCCAGGCUCUUGGGCCUCCAGAGCACUUGAUGGAAACCACUCCUGCAACCACUCCUUCAUCGUCUUCCCACCUCGUGAGCUCUGUGAGGACACGACGCCUCUUGUUCUCCACUGUCCACAUAGCACCUGCGGUCUGGGAGGAUGAUGGUUGCCCAAAAAAGGACGCUUGAGAUGGGGUUUGGGUAGAAAAUCCAGGACAGGUUGAUUCCCAUAAGUGCAAUUCCUCAGAUCACUAAUUUUUUUUAGAAUUGUUUUCUUUUUCUUUUCUUUUUUUUCUUACGGCUGCACCCGUGGCAUAUGGAGGUUCCCAGGCUAGGGGUCAAAUGGGAGCUACAGCUGCCGGCCUAUGCCCCAGCCUCAGCAAGGCGGAAUCUGAGCCUCGUCUGCGACCUACACCAUAGCUCAUGGCAAUGCCAGAUCCCCGACCCCCUGAGUGAGGCCAGGGAUCAAACCUGCAUCCUUACGGAUGCCAGUCGGAUUCGAUUCUGCUUCGCCGCAAUAGCAACGCCCUAGAAUUCUUUUCACUUUUAAUAUGUGUUUCCUAAUUAUAGACUGAUGUAUACUCAAUACAGAUAGGAAAAUAAUACUAAAAAAUCUGAAUACCCCUAAUUGCAUAUGGGAUUGGCAUAUGCACAUUGUGCUAUGUGGAAUGACUGGCCAGUGGGGACCUGCGGUAAAGCACAGGGAACACUACCCAAUACUCUGUGAUAAUCUGUGUGGGAAAAGAACCUGAAAAAGAAUGACUGUGUGUAUAUGUAUACCUGAAUCACUUUGUCGUACAGCACAAAUUAUCGCAACAUUAUAAAUCAACUAUACUCCAAUAAAACUUUAAAAAUGAAAAGAAAAUCUGAAUACCCAUAAUUAUAUCACCAGCAAAAAACGCUAUUGACCUUUCUCAUUUUGUCUGUGUACUAUACACACAUAUAUAUGUGUGUGUAUAAUAUAUAUAAUAG